UCCAUUGCCACCGCAUGCUGCUGAAGG
rnacentral:piRNA from 1 species